UACGUAGGUGGCAAGCGUUGUCCGGAGUUAUUGGGCGUAAAGCGCGCGCAGGCGGUGCGGUAAGUCUCUGGUGAAAUCUCCCGGCUCAACUGGGAGGGUGGUCGCGAGACGGCAGGGCUUGAGGCUCGGUGAGGGGCGUGGAAUUCCGGGUGGAGCGGUGAAAUGCGUAGAGAUCCGGAGGAACACCAACGGCGUAGGCAGCGCCCUAGACGAGACCUGACGCUCAGGCACGAAAGCGCGGGGAGCGAACAGG
rnacentral:rRNA from 1 species